UUUGGUAUUAAAAUAGAUUCGUAUUUUGAAUGAUAUCAAUAUUUCACAAUACUUAUAGUUAUCAAGGGUACCAGGCUUAUAAUUUAGUACGCCCUACGCGCGUUUUGUCUUCAGAAGACUCAUCAGUGACGCUCAAAUCAAAAUACUUUUGUAGUUAGAAAACCAAACAAGUAUAAAGUUAAAGAUCAUUGUGGACCGAAAAUUCAAAAAAGUUGUGUCAAAUACGGCUAAGGUAAUCCAUAGAUGUAAUACCCAUUACAUCUAUGGGUAAUCUAUGCCUGGGAUUUGAAAACCCUUAGUAUUUUGAAUAAUUCAUACUUUUGCAAACAGUAUAAAAUAACAACAUAAUUUAUAUUCAUGUCAACACCGAAUUGUUGACUACUGGGCUGGUGGUACACUCGGGGACGAAACGUCAACCAGCAUUGGGAUCGACCCAGUGGUGUUAAUAGUUAUCAAAGGUACCAGGCUCAUAAUUUAAGCAUUGAGAUUUAUACCUACUACCUCAAACCAAAAACAUUGUGCUUCAUACUGGACACAGCAUGACAAGCAAUAAUAAACCAACCAUCAACUAAUUGUCUAAUAAAAGACAAAUUAUCCAUUUU
rnacentral:lncRNA from 1 species